rnacentral:rRNA from 1 species
GACGUAGGGCGCGAGCGUUGUCCGGAUUUAUUGGGCGUAAAGAGCUCGUAGGCGGCUUGUCGCGUCGACUGUGAAAUCCCGCGGCUCAACUGCGGGUCUGCAGUCGAUACGGGCAGGCUAGAGUUCGGUAGGGGAGAUCGGAAUUCCUGGUGUAGCGGUGAAAUGCGCAGAUAUCAGGAGGAACACCGGUGGCGAAGGCGGAUCUCUGGGCCGAUACUGACGCUGAGGAGCGAAAGCGUGGGGAGCGAACAGG